rnacentral:tRNA from 1 species
UGGGGUGUAGCUCAGUGUUAGAGCAUGUACUUAGUAUGUGAGACCCUGGGUUUAAUUCACAGCACCACUA